UAAUCAACUAUGAUUGGGAAGAGUAAGUCAGGAACCCUUGUCAGAGAGGAGAAUCACCAGCUGCGAGAUUCUCUAAGGAGACGAAUGACUGAAGGUCGCCCAGGAGUUGUUCCGGUGAGGAUUAAGUCCAGCUGGAAACGGUUCGCAACCGUUAUCGUGUCUGAGGGAAUACACAUCGUCUAUGUUGACUAUGUGUAUUAACAAAGGUGGUACCGCGAAAAUAUCCUUUCGUCCUUUGG
rnacentral:ncRNA from 1 species